CAUAGCUCGCUGCAGCCUCGAAUUCCUGGGCUCAAGAGAUCCUCCUGCCUUAGCCUCUGAGUAACUGGGACUACAAAAGGAUUUCUUGAUGUUGGAGUUUGCUCAGCCAGGGAAUGUGGAAAGUCCCCUGCUGAGAACCUUCGGACCAGACAAGAAAUCGGCCUGCCUCUUUUAUGAGAGUGGAGAUGGGCCCCUUGGGGCAGGACAGACCUGAUCCCUCCAGUGACAAAAGUUACCUGGUCAUUCCGGACUCCUGACGCCGCCAGUCCCGCGGUGAGACGUGAGCACCAUUGGCGUCCGUGGCCUCUGUUUCCGUGGCAACCCAGUAACCAUUAAUUUUCAAUUAAAGGAGACAAAAAGCUCGAUGACAGCUCCAGGUCUGCUGAAGAUGUCAAGAAUCUGUAUUAAUAUACAGCAAGAGAGCAUAAUUGUGUGUCCAUCUUCCAGAGCAGCGAAAAAUGGAGGGAUAAUUACCAGCUCGAAAGCCACUCUGUAAUUUAGUUCUUACUGUCACCACAGCCCUACACAUUAGCAUAAAUUAAAAGCAGAGUUUAUUGUUAUCAAAGUGCA